rfam:Citrus sinensis cultivar Ridge Pineapple sweet orange scaffold01386_contig_3, whole genome shotgun sequence.
AUACCAAGAUGAGGAUAUCUCCUAAGUAACUCCUUGAAUCUUUCAUAUGCAUCAUACAAAAUCUUAUCUUCAAGUUGAUAGAAAUAUGUUAUCUCAUUCGUCAAUUU